rnacentral:rRNA from 1 species
CCUACGGGAGGCAGCAGUGGGGAAUUUUGGACAAUGGGGGCAACCCUGAUCCAGCCAUGCCGCGUGUGUGAAGAAGGCCUUCGGGUUGUAAAGCACUUUCGGACGGAACGAAAUCGCGCGAUCUAAUAAGUCGCGUGGAUGACGGUACCGUAAGAAGAAGCACCGGCUAACUACGUGCCAGCAGCCGCGGUAAUACGUAGGGUGCGAGCGUUAAUCGGAAUUACUGGGCGUAAAGUGUGCGCAGGUGGCUGAGCAAGUCGAGUGUGAAAUCCCCGGGCUUAACUUGGGAAUUGCGCUCGAAACUACUUGGCUCGAGUGUGGCAGAGGAAGGUGGAAUUCCAGGUGUAGCGGUGAAAUGCGUAGAGAUCUGGAGGAACACCGAUGGCGAAGGCAGCCUUCUGGGCCAACACUGACGCUCAUGCACGAAAGCGUGGGGAGCAAACAGGAUUAGAUACCCUGGUAGUCCACGCCCUAAACGAUGAUGACUAGUUGUUGGGGGAGUUAAAUCCCUUAGUAACGCAGCUAACGCGUGAAGUCAUCCGCCUGGGGAGUACGGUCGCAAGAUUAAAACUCAAAGGAAUUGACGG